CACGUAGGGUGCGAGCGUUGUCCGGAAUUAUUGGGCGUAAAGAGCUCGUAGGCGGUGUGUCGCGUCGACCGUGAAAACCUGCAGCUUAACUGUGGGCGUGCGGUCGAUACGGGCAUCACUGGAGUUCGGCAGGGGAGAUUGGAAUUCCUGGUGUAGCGGUGAAAUGCGCAGAUAUCAGGAGGAACACCGGUGGCGAAGGCGGGUCUCUGGGCCGAUACUGACGCUGAGGAGCGAAAGCGUGGGGAGCAAACAGG
rnacentral:rRNA from 1 species